UCAACUCUUUCAAGGAUAGAGUUCCCCAUUCUGGCAUGAAGCAGCUGGUCUAGUGGGACUGCAGUCUGCAAUGAGCUUCCUGGGUCGGGCUGUCUUCCACUGCCACUCCCAGGUUUCACACCUGCCUGUAAAACAGCUCCUGACUGCCUACUUCGCCCAGCCAGGCCACUGGCUGGGCCCUUCGCAGGACAGGAUGUCUCGUGUGAAUGGCUCUAUUCCAGCUGCCAGCCAAAGUCAGCAAGAAGCUAUUGGAAAAAAGAGGUUACAUAUUUUAUGAAACUGAUGUUCAAAUGAUUGUCUAUUUGUAUUCCAGUCUUGGGUGUCUGCACAUCCCUGCACCAGAGUUUAGAAUUGCUUAGAUCAGCAGUGAUUGUUGGCCCAUAUCUGUGCCCUACCUGCCCUGAUGCCCCUCUACUGAGGGUAUAGAGGGGCAGGAUAUUUAAAGGGAGUAUUGAACUAUUGGAAUAUCUGGUUUCCAGCCACUCUGCUGCUACCAAAGAAGGUGAAUAUCCUUGAGUUUAAUAUAACAUGGCACUCCUGUUUCCAUUAAUUAAUAUGGCUAUGGAUAGAUCUGCUAAAAUGUUUCCAUUGCUAUAAUUCUGUAAAGCCAGCUUUGUGUUUAUAUUCUUCUAGUCCACAGCUUUCUACAGUGAAAAUUAUUUCAAAAGUUAAAAGGGGGGAGAAUACCAGUGUAAAGAGAGGUCAACACGUUUUAAAAUAUAGAGUGGUUUAGAACUAAAAUACAUUUAUUUAUAUUAUAUAUAUUUUCUGACCACAGACUGGUACAGACUCUGCCCCUGAAAUUCUUCUUGCUGUCAAGCUUCACAAACAAACAAGCACCUAGAAAUUAAUUAUGCACAUCAUCACUUGGAUGUAGAGGCCAAGUGUUCCCCAUACACUUUGCUAUUUAGGGCAGUGUCUCUCAAGCAGGGGCACACAUCCCCCGAGGAGGGUACUCAGAGGUCUUCCAGGGGAUACAUCAACUCAUCUAGAUAUUUGCCUAG